rnacentral:rRNA from 1 species
AACGCGUAGGUAAUCUACCCUUAUAUUUGGGAUAACAUUGGGAAACUGGUGCUAAUACCGAAUGGUCUUCUUUGCUGCGGGGCGAAGGAGUAAAGGUGGCCUCUUCAUGAAAGCUACCGUGUAGGGAUGAGCCUGCGUACCAUUAGCUAGUAGGUGGGGUAAUGGCCCACCUAGGCUACGAUGGUUAGUGGGUCUGAGAGGAUGAUCCGCCACACUGGAACUGGAACACGGACCAG